AUUGAACGCUAGCGGGAUGUCUUACACAUGCAAGUCGAACGGAGUGGCGAACGGGUGAGUAAUGUAUCGGAACGUGCCCAGUAGCGGGGGAUAACUACGCGAAAGCGUAGCUAAUACCGCCUACUAUUGGAACGGCCGAUAUCUGAUUAGCUAGUUGGGGGGGUAACGGCUCACCAAGGGGACGAUCCGUAGCUGGUUUGAGAGGACGACCAGCCACACUGAGACUUAGACACGGCCCAGACACCGACGGGAGGCAGCAGUGGGGAAUUUUGGACAAUGGGGGAAACCCUGAUCCAGCCAUCCCGCGUGUGCGAUGAAGGCCUUCGGGUUGUAAAGCACUUUUAGCAGGAAAGCGGUACCUGCAGAAUAAGCACCGGCUAACUACGUGCCAGCCGCCGCGGUAAUUC
rnacentral:rRNA from 1 species